CCCUUAGAUGUUCUGGGCUGCACGCGCGCUACACUGAAGUGUUCAACGAGUAUUCACCUUGCCCGGGAGGGUUGGGUAAUCUUUUGAAAACGCUUCGUGAUGGGGAUAGAUUAUUGCAAUUAUUAAUCUUCAACGAGGAAUGCCUAGUAAGCGCAAGUCAUCAGCUUGCGUUGAUUACGUCCCUGCCCUUUGUACACACCGCCCGUCGCUCCUACCGAUUGAAUGGUCCGGUGAAGCGUUUGGACUAUGGUUUUCUGACGGUUCGCCAUUGGAUUACCGUGGGAAAUUCGUUAAACCUUAUCAUUUAGAGGAAGGAGAAGUCGUAACA
rnacentral:rRNA from 1 species